AAGACUAUACUUUCAGGGAUCAUUUCUAUAGUAUGUUACAAGGACAAAGCUUACCUCCCCUGUUACGACUCCUACCCUUAGCUAAGUGUGUAGGG
rnacentral:sRNA from 1 species